UGACUACCGAUGCGGGUCGACUGUCGGUUGCUGCUCACGGAGGUCGAAACAAUGGGGCAGAGGUCCGCGACUAUUGGUGCGGUUCGAGGCACUGGGGCGGAGGCGGCCGGAAGAGACUGGAUCGGGGUAGCCUGAGCUCGUGCGCCUUGGCGCAUGGUCCCGUGAAAUUUACGCCGAUAUACAGUUUGUUUAACAACGAUAAGAAAAGGUGAAUAAAUGAUAAAUGUAAUUUAUAUUUUACAAAACAAAGUCAAUAGUAUGAAAUUAGGAUCAAACACGGGAAUUUGCAAACGGAGCAGCAAACAACAAACGGUACUAUACAAUCAUGAAAAUGUAGGAAUAUAUUACACAACUAAACACUUUAUGGUUUUUUUCAAGAGAAAUAGAAUUAAGGAAAUAACACGAAAAGCAACAGCUACAUAAGCUUGGUGCAGCAUGGUCUUUAGAGACCAUGGCACAUAGGAAACAUAGUUUUAAAAUAGAACUAACUAAAAAACAGGAACGGCCAAUUUUAAUAUUUAUCUAUAAUAAAGUGGCCUAGCUAUAGUAAUAAUAUUGGGCCUUCUUAUGUUGAUAGGCAAUAUUGAUAGGUUAGGCUGAUUAAGCGGUGUUAGUCUGUAGGUUGUUUUCAUUUUUUUUGCUUAGUCUAUAUACUUAUUCCGUUCAGCACAAGAGUCAGAAAAGAGCUAGCCGUGUCUAGGAACCACAAGAUAGAGGGAGAAUAUCAAAUACAAGAUGUCGGUGCUCCGUCAUGGUAUUGGCCUCGCGCUCCGGCGGUUGGCAGCGCCAGCCACUAUCCGGCAACACCACCAUCGGCCUGCGAGGCUUUCACAUCCUCCAUAGUCUGUGCCGUCGUCUCGCUUCUUGGCCACAUGUGAAGUGUGAAUCCAUAAACACCAGAAAAGAGCUAGCCGUAAAAAAAAAACUACGGAGUAAAAGAUUGCAGCUCGUCGACAAAUACAGGUAAGGGAAUCCCCUCUUUUCUCUAGCUAACCGACAAUGCUUCCCAUCUCCUUGGGAUGUGUAUUUCCUUGUCUCUCCAGAACUCGUGUCGGCUUAUUCGAGGCCUGCCCUCGUCGGCAAGAUAGAAAAAAGGGGAGAAACAUGCGGGGAGAAGCGGCAACACGCCGAUUUCCCGAGGCCACCAUCAAAUUGCGCCGUUGUGCGACCUUGUGAGGGAGCUGGGCUGGAGCCUGGAGGCAGCUGCUCUAAUUGUGCGUUCGCAUCAUUCCUCCCAUCCAAAGCUUGGGAAUGCUGCUGCACCAAUGGCAGCAUCGCAGGACUGCUCCGCGUCCAUCACGGUCGCGCUUUUGCGUCGCCACUGCCAGCUCCGUCCACGGAGGCGCCUAGUUCGUGUGGGGACGGUGGUUCCACCAACCAUCCUCCUCCCUGGCGCCCUGAUCCCUUUCCAAGCCUCCAAGAGGCUGCUGCUCUGCCCGCCACCUCCUCCGAGUCCGUUGGAUGAUCAAGGCUUUCUCUAUUCGUAUUAUGGUGAUUUUGCCAGUUACAGGCUACACACUUUGGUUACAGGGAUUUCAUAUGUUUCUCCUAAAGGAAGCGCUACACUUAAUGAAUACAGAGAAUAUUUGGCAGCAGCAGCAACACUACGGUCAAAGCAGCUAUGGACUGGGACAUCAUCUGAAUAUAAGAGUAUGUUUUUCUUUGAAACUUCCGCAAGAUGGAUAAAAGCAAUUUAUGACACAAGUUUCCGCAUAGUAGAUGCAUAACAUCAUUUACCAAGUUUCCACGGAAAAGAUGCUCAAAAUUCCACGACGUUGCAAACUGCAAGACAAAAUGAAGUGAACAAGCAUAUGUAUCAAAGCAUACCAACCCGCUCUUAUUUUUUUUAUGAAACGAACUUGCUUCUUUAAACGAAGGACGUGCUACUCAUCAUUUAAUGCCAGUUAUAGAUCUUAGGACCAGGCCAAACCUCGAUGUGACGUGAUCAAGCUGAACUGCCAGAUAAUACUUUUCAGUCAACUGAAGGAUCCUAUGCUGAAAGGUGAAUAGAAAGCAUCUUGAUAUCUAUUCCACUUGGUUAUUUGGGAAAAGCAGGAUUUAUAAGAAAUAUAAAUUAUGCUAGUGUGAAUCUGCACAACAGCAACAUCAACAAAGAGGCAUGCCUUUAUGAGAAACAGGAAGACACAUGCUAUAAUUCACUAUCCUCUACCAGAAAAAUAUAUGGAAAUGAAAAAAGGAAACAUACAACUUACGAAAUAUGAGAAAAGACACAAAAAAGCAAAGAACAAACCUCUAUUCACUGUAUAGAUAAAUCAAUGAUUUUGGUGACAUGCAAAGUCUGCAAAUAAAUCAUGCCGGAUAGUUUAUUGUUUCAGAAGUAACUGGAAAAACUCUACCUGACCUCGUGCAACCCAUACAAAUUUGUAUAUAUUAGAAAAGGAUAAGCACCAUUCAUCUCUUCUCCAAAGUUGCGUAUUAGGACCUUUUCCUCAUACCUACAUACAUGUGGAGAUACUGGAAAUGGCAGCAAAGAACAUGAAUCAAAUAUAAAAAAUGAUAAUAUUUGGCAGCGGAACUUUAUCAUAGUUAUACCUCCCUGUACCAUGAAUAGAAUCUGCAGAUCCAAUCCGUAAUUCCACGAAAUCAAUCCAAAUGGACACAUUGAGGUCCUGGUAACUCUAUUGAACAACACCAAACAACUGUAAAUGAAUUUAGGCAUGUAGAAUCCUAAUGGAUUAGCAGCAUUUGGGCCCUGGAACUGCCUGCAGAAGCUGAAGCGAGGGCAAUGCAAGGGUGGAGGUAGUGGCCUUGCCAGGCUCGCACUUGUCGAGGACACCUUGGUUCAGCGAGGUUGCAGUUGAAGCUAAAGAGCAGCGCAGUAAUAUUCAUCAUCUUUCUUAUGAUCUCUUCUAUCUCGCCCAAUCUUAUCACCUCCUAUCAGUUGAAGCUUUGUUAGAUGAUGCUAGUGAUUCCUUUGGAUCAUCAAUUACGGUUGAACCAAACUGACAUGACAAUUAAGCAAACCUUAAGAAAUAAGCUUAUUUAUUACAUAUAAGCAUGAGAAAAUGUACAUAGUAUGCAAGUAAUUACCUCUCCAGAUCCCCAUUUUGAAAAAAAAAAUACCUCUCCAGAUCAAACCAGGAGGAGAGCUCUCUGCACAGAUGAAUCCUGGACAUCUUUGAUGUUGCUGUUCGAUGGAUAACGUACCAGGUCACGGGAAUACAAGGGAGGGGACCAAACAAUUUUUUUUUCAUUAAUGUGCUUAAUUGUUUUGGUGAGCAAACUUGAUAUGAUCUGUAUGAGACCCAACACCAGCCUAAAAAUUCAAAUGAGCAAACCGAGUGUGGUGGCUGUUGCGAUCGAUCAUGGCAAUCCAGAGUGUGCUAGCUACAGGCGACACUGCUGCAGUUCAAGCGGCGCCCUCCGCUUCGGUUUCUCAUUCGCCACUACUGGCUAAUAUAAUCCAUCGCACUACCAGAACACCAAAUAUGGUAUGUGCUAACAGAAUGUCAUUCAUUGGACAUGCACAAUAGUUCUUUGGGAUUGUCCUCUUAACCUGCAGACCAAGCGCAAACUAAUAUUGGAACAGACUGCAAGUCACACAAAAAAACGAUAUGUACCAUCAAAUAUCACUGGAAUCAACCUCUAUUGUGUUCCAAUACAUGUUUGGAAAAGCCCCCUGACAAUGCAUACAGCCAGUAAAAAUAUCUAAAAAGCUAGUGACAAACCAGGAAUGCUAAAAGGAACAUGAUUAGACCUUGAAUUCAUGUCAUCGUUUCUGAACCUGUAUGUUAAGAGGAUAAUCCAUGUUAUUGUUUCUGAACCUGUAUGUAACGUUGUGGCAAUCGAUAUCCGCAUUAAUCCUUUUCUUAACAAAGACGCAAAAGCACCCUUGCAUUAUUUAAACGUAAAAAGGGAAACUAUUCCUGACCUAAUGUGUUGAAUCAAAAAGGUGGAUAUCAUCCAAGGCGAAGAGAGACUAAAAAAUGAAUAGCAUGAUAAGAGAUUCCUACCUUUUGAUCCCUUUUCUUCUUGUCCAUCAGGGAGGCAUGCUGCCUUCUGUCGUAGAGAAAUAGACAUGCUCCAGCUUGCCACUGCCAGAUGGGGAAAUAUAUCGUGGCUCGAGGCCCAGCUCUAGUAGCCUUCAUAUCUCCUCAUUGUUCAUCCUGAUCCUACUUCUGCCCUUCCAUUCUGCAUCCAUCCACACUUAACAAAGCAGCACACAUCGUCACCCUGUAAUACAUAUAGGAAAUAAAAAAUGGAUACCAGGAAAAGAGUAGAGCUAACCUUUUUUGAAGUAAUAUGGAUCCAAAGUAGGAAAGCUGAUCUUUAUGUGCCAUUUCAGGGAUAGGUAGCCACAUUGCCCCGUACACUCUAUAGGGGCUUUUGUUUCCAAUAAGGCACUAAUCUGCAUAAUAGUGGAGACCGUAGAGUGUCAUAUAUUGUCACAUUAUACGCACAACACAAAGAGAAAUAAUGCUUACAGCUAGCACACAGAUAACCUACAUAGAAAUAGAACCGAAAACUGCAAUAAGUAAUGGGCGGGGAUCACAUAGUCUGUAAUUCCCCCAAAAUUAUGUUGGAGCUCACUCCCCACAUGUCUUACUUUGCUCAACUCAACCCUGCCAGCAAGAAUUAAUGCCUCAAGAAACUGAGAUCAUUUUACGUAUAACUAUUGAAUAAUAAAGCCUAGUAAAAGGUGGUAUAUUUCACGUCAUCACCAUGGUAGAACCGCAAUCAGGUUGCACAUAAUUAAAGCAACACAACAAUCAGUUUUGAUAUUGGAUUUGGGGUUAUAAUCCUUUCAUAAACCAAUGAUUUAGAUUGUAUACACAUGGUAAAUUAUUUAUUAAAAUUCUAGUGCUUUCAAACAACGAUCUUUCAUUCAAGUUGUUCAUUCUUUUCUUGGAUCAUUUGAGCAAACAUAGUUGAUAUAAAAGCAUAGUAAUAUUAGCAUGAGCAAACAUAGUUGAUAUAAAAAUCUAGUCACAAACAUUUUGACUACAAUAGUGCAUGCAUCAUUCAAAGUAACUCAUAAACGGAGCAAAGAUAUAUUGCCAAGAGACAAAACCUAACUUUUUCAAAAAAAUAACUACAACAGAAAACACAAUCUACUUGUCCUU